UAUCCUGUCAAAAGAAAGAAAGUACAGCGUUUAUGUUCUGUGGAAAGGCUUUAGUGGAGGUUUGAUGUUUUUUUUCACAGACAUUACCAAAUUGACAUUCAGACCUUCACAAACAACAAACAGAAAGCCACACUAUUUUUAUUCUGAGCAUGAAGCACCAGAUUUCAGCAAAUAACCUUAAGAUCUAAUGAGGAGCUUAAACUGAUCUGUGCUAAGAAAUUAUACACUGAUCAUUUUCUGUGGAUUAUAUAUGCCUAUCCUAAUUCUGGAGAAAUAUGCCUACAAAAUGUGGGACCCUAGAGAAAAUGGUGUGCCAUCAAUGCCAGUAUUUAAUAUAAUCUAACAUACUUCUUGGUUUUGUUUAAAAUCUGCGAGGCUUGAUUCACUUAGGAAUGCCGAGGACUGUGGAUCAGUGAACUGGCAAUGUGUUGAUCCAGACAGCUAAACUAGAAUGAAAGUGAAGAUGGAGUAGGUGGAAAUCAGCUAUUGCAUCAGAUAAUUCAUGCAAAUUGGCUCUUUAAAAACCAGCUGAAACCAGUCUUAUUUGCAUCCCAAACAGGGGCUUACCUAGAACUAUAUUCAAGAUUUCAUAGUAUUGCCACUAAAUACAGGUAGUAUUUUAUUCUUCGCCAUUGGGUACACAUAGUACCAAAAGUAAUAAUCUAGUGUACCUUCAUUUACCACUAUGCUUAGCAUUACUGAAUUUUAUAUUUUCUUUUAAAUGUAAUUCCCUCUAAACUGUGCCAUAGCAAAAUGUCAGGGGAAGCAAAAUGAUAGGCAGGAUCGUCUUCUCAAAUACAAAUAGCUGCCUUGAUAAAAGAAAGCACUGCUGUCCCGGAGGGUGAUUUCAGUACUCUCUUGAGUGUUCUAAAGUCCUGCAUGAUCAUGUGAGACUUGAGAACAUUUUCAAAUUGAAACACUGGAAGGUAGAAACAGAAGAUAAAUUUUCUCUGCAAUUAUUUGAUAACGGUUGUGCACAUUCUAUUGAAUAUCACAUCUCAAAAUAACCCUUUUCUUUAGGAAUUCAAACAGUUGUCACUUGCUUAAUAUUGGAUGAAACGGGAGUUAGCAUUUCCCUCUUUCCUUUGUUUGCUUUCACUAACUUUUUGCAAAAAGGAAAAAGCCACUCACCGGUGCCAUCUCUACCAACACGUCUGACACCUAAGUGACCUUAGAGUGGAGACUUGAAAAUGACAGAUUCAACUUUUUUCUACAGCAGGUUUUCUAAUAAGAUGGAUUUCAACCAUCCUAAUGAAUCACCUAAGUGAGUAAGUGAUUUGGUGAGCACAACUAGAAACCUGACCUGUUGUGAAACCUAGAGCGCUACAUACUAUGUUUCCACCUUCACAUCGUCUCCCUCUUCCUUAUAGCGACUUAUCUUUAUAAUUAAAGUAUCCUUGUUAGUGGAGAAGUAAUAUCUAAUAAGAAAAUUAAAAUCCUUAAAAGAAUUUAGUAUCAAGCUAAGGCCAAGUGAAAUUCACUAAGAAGGCUAAUGUUACCAAACUGUAAUCAAUUCUUAAAAUAUUGCUGCAAGUUCACCUGACAGACUGCCUGUUCCUGAAAUAAUAAGCUGCUUUAGCAUCUGUAUUUAAGUGUAUAAUUAAAUUGUGAGCUUUGUUUGGUAAAAUGUAA